GAUGAACGCUGGCGGCGUGCCUAAUACAUGCAAGUCGAGCGAACAGAUGAGGAGCUUGCUCCUCUGACGUUAGCGGCGGACGGGUGAGUAACACGUGGAUAACCUACCUAUAAGACUGGGAUAACUUCGGGAAACCGGAGCUAAUACCGGAUAAUAUAUUGAACCGCAUGGUUCAAUAGUGAAAGACGGUUUUGCUGUCACUUAUAGAUGGAUCCGCGCCGCAUUAGCUAGUUGGUAAGGUAACGGCUUACCAAGGCAACGAUGCGUAGCCGACCUGAGAGGGUGGUAGGCCACACUGGAACUGAGACACGGUCCAGACUCCUACGGGAGGCAGCAGUAGGGAAUCUUACGCAAUGGGCGAAAGCCUGACGGAGCAACGCCGCGUGAGUGAUGAAGGUCUUCGGAUCGUAAAACUCUGUUAUUAGGGAAGAACAAAUGUGUAAGUAACUAUGCACGUCUUGACGGUAUCUAAUCAGAAAGCCACGGCUAACUACGUG
rnacentral:rRNA from 1 species